AGUCGAACGGCAGCACGGGGGCAACCCUGGUGGCGAGUGGCGAACGGGUGAGUAAUACAUCGGAACGUGUCCUGUAGUGGGGGAUAGCCCGGCGAAAGCCGGAUUAAUACCGCAUACGCUCUGCGGAGGAAAGCGGGGGAUCCUUCGGGACCUCGCGCUACAGGGGCGGCCGAUGGCAGAUUAGCUAGUUGGUGGGGUAAAGGCCUACCAAGGCGACGAUCUGUAGCUGGUCUGAGAGGACGACCAGCCACACUGGGACUGAGACACGGCCCAGACUCCUACGGGAGGCAGCAGUGGGGAAUUUUGGACAAUGGGCGAAAGCCUGAUCCAGCAAUGCCGCGUGUGUGAAGAAGGCCUUCGGGUUGUAAAGCACUUUUGUCCGGAAAGAAAACCUCCGCCCUAAUAYGGUGGGGGGAUGACGGUACCGGAAGAAUAAGCACCGGCUAACUACGUGCCAGCAGCCGCGGUAAUACGUAGGGUGCAAGCGUUAAUCGGAAUUACUGGGCGUAAAGCGUGCGCAGGCGGUCCGCUAAGACAGAUGUGAAAUCCCCGGGCUUAACCUGGGAACUGCAUUUGUGACUGGCGGGCUAGAGUAUGGCAGAGGGGGGUAGAAUUCCACGUGUAGCAGUGAAAUGCGUAGAGAUGUGGAGGAAUACCGAUGGCGAAGGCAGCCCCCUGGGCCAAUACUGACGCUCAUGCACGAAAGCGUGGGGAGCAAACAGGAUUAGAUACCCUGGUAGUCCACGCCCUAAACGAUGUCAACUAGUUGUCGGGUCUUCAUUGACUUGGUAACGUAGCUAACGCGUGAAGUUGACCGCCUGGGGAGUACGGUCGCAAGAUUAAAACUCAAAGGAAUUGACGGGGACCCGCACAAGCGGUGGAUGAUGUGGAUUAAUUCGAUGCAACGCGAAAAACCUUACCUACCCUUGACAUGUAUGGAACCUGGCUGAAAGGUCAGGGUGCCCGAAAGGGAGCCAUAACACAGGUGCUGCAUGGCUGUCGUCAGCUC
rnacentral:rRNA from 1 species